rnacentral:lncRNA from 1 species
CUGGCGCCGGCGCCGGCCACUAGGUUUAUGGCGUUCGCUCAUUCUCGUUCCUUCCUUGGCGGCAGUUAGAGCCCGAAUUGCUCCUCCCCAGGGGGCCCGACACCGCCCCUUCCACCCGCAGGCCAUGGCGGGCGCUGAGGCGCGGAGGCGGGCGCCAUGCUGAGGGCCGGAGGUUUCAUGUCGCUAGUACUAGCCCUAGUGCUAGCUGCGAGGCUCCCCGCGCUCGGCCGGCCGCCGCCGCCGCUGGGCCGACUCCUCGCCCUGUGGGAGCUGUGGCCAGGUUAUAUAAAAGAGUGUCAGCUACUAUCAAUGGUAACAGUAAACAAUUCUUCAAAUAAAAUAUCACAACUUGUGGACCCAGAACAAUCAACAUUGAAAAAAAAUCUUCUAAUUUCUCAUGGCGUUUGGCAGAACACUUCUACAGCUGGAAGAAAUUACAAAAUUUUUAAAACAAAAUCAGAAGCAACUAGAAGAAAAACUGACAAAUACAAGCACCAAUGGAAGCUGCUGAGAAAUAACAUUAUAAACAUUUUCAUGAAUCAAAACAAGCCACAACUAAUUACCAAUGAAGGCAUAAAAACACAAGUUUCCAAAAAGUGGACAGGAAGUGGAAAAAUAACUUCAACUGAAACAAAUGCAGAGCUAACAGAAAAAGCAAGAAAGAUCCUAAAGCUUGGGAAAACUGAAAAUACUAAGAUAAUAAGUCAACAUAAAAUUAAUUCACAUCUACAGAAUGAAUUUAAAAUUGUUGAAAAGAAAACUGCAAAUAAUAAAAGAAAUCAACUGCAAAAAAAGUUGUAUUGCAAUUCUUGUAUAUUUAACAAAUGCUUUGGAACUAAGCCAUCAUUGAUAAAUACGUUUUUGACAGCAAAUUGUCUAUCAACUGUUAAAGGAAAAUGUUGCAGAAAAAAUCUGAAAGACUUACAAAGCAUUUUGGUAUUAAAUUUAGUAAAAAAUCAGAUGGUCAAUGAAAGUAGUCAAAAUCAAACUAAAACAAUGACAAAGGAAAAAAAUAAAUGUACCAAUAAAAGAAUUUUAGCAUUUGUCAAACAAAAGGAAUUAGCUGAAAAGAGUUCUAAAACAUGGGACUGGGAAAGAAUAGGUGCAAUCAGCAGAGAUCAGCAUAAAAUAUUAACUGAUGCAAGAAAAGUGUUAAUAAGUGCAGAAAAGAAAAGUCAACAUACUGAACUUCAGAAAUAUGGACAUAUACCUAAAGAGUUUCAGGAAAUAACUGGAUCUGUAAACAAUAUACCAAGUGGAAUAAGCAGUUGGAAAAGAAAAUCAGAAGGAAUGUCUACUAGGCCUUACAGUAAAAACCAAAACAUUUUAAACUCAAUGAAACAAAGAUCAGCAGGAUUACAAAAGGGUCAACCAAAUAUGAAAGACAUAGAUGGAAUGUACACAACAGGAAAAUCAGACAAAAAUAACAGGAGCAUAGAUGUAUUGUUUAAUAGCUUGCCUGAAGUAGGAAUCAAAGUAAUACUUCAAGGUAAAGAGCAAAGAACUAAAACAACUCCAAAAUCUGUUGAUAAAAAUCAGAGAUCUUCUGCACAAGCAAUGAUCCUGCAAAGAAGCAAAGAAAAUGUGCAGGAAAAGUGGUCAAUAUAUAAAACUGGUUCUUCUAGAACUCAUGAAAGAAAACAAGAUACUUUUAAAACUAAAGUUUCUAGAAAACAGAAAUGGAGAGGGAAUCCGGUUGAAGUACAUAUACCUAAAAAAGAAAGUACUGUGUUUAGAGUGGAAAGGUUGGAAUAUUCAUCCAGAAAUGACCACGUAGAACCUAUAAAGUUAAAUUCUGUCUUUCCAACCACAAAAUAUGCUGUAAGUGUUAAACAGGCAUUAUUUCCACCAGAAAUAGGACAAGCAAAGUCUUCAAGACAUGUGGGAAAAAUGGUGACACAUAGCACGUCAACUUCAUGGAAGGUAAAACAGAAAUCUUUAAGCUUUGCUCAAAAGGAUUUAAAUAUUAAAGCUAGAAGAGCUGCUGUAUCAAACAAACAAACUGUGAAUAGUAAAUAUAAAAAAAUUAAUAAAAGAGAUUAUUUACCAAUAUCUUCAAUAUAUCCUUAUAAACAUACUUCUCAAAGUGUAUCUGAUGGUGAAAGAAGAAAACAAUCAACACAGGGUGAAAGUGUAAAGGUAUCUGUAGAUUUUGUGAACCACUUAGUCUCCGUUCUAGUAGCAGGUGCUACUAUUGUUGGAAUUGCCUUCUUUGCUUUGGGAUUAGCAGUGUUUUAUCUGUUUUAUAAAAGAAGGCAGCUUUUUCAGUUUCUCAGAACCAUUAUGAAAGAUGAAGAACUUCCAAACAAAUUUGUACCAAUUGAUGCUCAACAUGAUAAGCAUAUGUCUCUCUCUCAGAGUUUUCAUGUUGGAAAAUCACAGGUAAAACCUAGCAUCUCUAUUCUAAAAAUAAAAUGCAGCCCUAACCUUAUUUGAAUUCCAGUCUUGUUCUCAGUCUGGUGAUAUGAGGGUAGCUAUACGCUAUAUCUUUAAAGUUCCACAAAGAUACCUCUUUAUGUCUUAAUUGUUU